UACGUAGGGUGCAAGCGUUAAUCGGAAUUACUGGGCGUAAAGCGUGCGCAGGCGGUUGUGCAAGACAGGUGUGAAAUCCCCGGGCUUAACCUGGGAACUGCACUUGUGACUGCAUAGCUGGAGUACGGCAGAGGGGGAUGGAAUUCCGCGUGUAGCAGUGAAAUGCGUAGAUAUGCGGAGGAACACCGAUGGCGAAGGCGGCAUCCUGGACCGGUAUUGACGCUGAGGCGCGAAAGCCAGGGGAGCAAACGGG
rnacentral:rRNA from 1 species